rnacentral:rRNA from 1 species
AUGCGACGGACACCCACCACCCCAAAGUGUCCGAGCACCUCCACAGGCCUGGACCAGAUCCUGCCGUGGCUCUUCUACCACAAGGUCAUUGGCGUUGCACACUUUUUGCUCUUCGUCGAGGGCAAGGCCGCCAAGCCUAGCGUCGCCGGGGGGGUGAAGGUGGUGUACAGGACCAAGGAGCUUGAGGAGCAGCAGGCCAGGUGCCGAAUCUGGAACGAAACCUGGCUCGCAGGAUUCUUCUACAAGCCUUGCAACCACGAACUAUUUUUGAAGCGGUCACUCAACAUGGAGAUGGCCAUUGUGAUGGCCCGGGAAUCUGGCAUGGAUUGGAUAAUGCAUCUAGACACCGAUGAGUUGUUAUAUCCCGGUAGUAUUCCAUCAGACGCAUGUUAG